UUUUUUUUUUUUUUUUAGUAUUGCUGUGUUGGAAUUUUGAAAAGAGAAAUUAAAGAGAAAUAAAUUGUACAUAUUUCUAGUGUGUACAAGAAUCGCUCACAACUUGUUUCUCUUUGCCCAGUAAAUAAUUUGGCCACCCCACUGUAUUUUAACAUAGGAUACUGAUGUUUUAAGAACUGAGUAAUGUGUAGUGCCUUCUAGUAAUAAAAUAAUUUCUUAAUAAUUAAUUCUUAGAAUAACUGUAAGUACUUCAAGUAAAUUCUCUCUUGGUGACUGGGAGCAUUUUAGACAAAAUAGGCUUGCUGAAAGUUUUGCUGUGUAUAGAGACUUUCAACUAUAGCAAAUAAGGAGAGGAAAAAAAGUGUUCACUGUAUGUAUAAUAAUUUUCUUAUAGGUUAGAAAUGAAUAUUAAAUAAUAAAUACUUAAAUUUUAUUAUGCAAACAGUAGGUAGUUCUUCUAUAGUUAUAUUCAUAAUUGAAUCCUUAGUGCUGUGGGAUUCUGCUGUAGACACUUCUGCAGUUUAACUUGCAAAGUGGUUCUAGACAAAAAGAAGUGGAAUAGGUAAUUAAUAAAAGCAGCAGAGAGUUGUUAGCUUCAUUUUCAGGAAUUUUGGCUGUGUGCUUGCAGAUGCAGAUAUCGCAUGUUUCUCAGUUGCUGUUGGCCACCCUGCCAUGUAGGAAUGAGGUGUCAUGGAUACUAAUUAAGUCUGAGGAGUCAUCAAACUUAAGAAACCUGUCUACCCCUUUUAUCUAAUGCUGUUCCAUAUGUCUCUCUUUGGAAAGCAGUGUUAGCCCAGAACAGAAAACAAGAAAAAUAACACAGAUGGAAAGGACCAAAUCCUACUGCUGCUCUUCCACAACCUUUUUAAUAUUUGAGAACAGGCUGCAGAGCACAGGAUAUUUUUCAGUAUUCUAUAUCUAUCCUUUCCAGUCUCAGAUGUAGGACAUGUUUUGGCACUAAUGAAAUUCACAUUCAAAAUUGCAUAGCCUAAGAGAACACAAUUCAUGUCUAUGUUUAAUGUUGUUUAUUAGGAUCUUAUUUUUUCCCCUAACGCAAACAUCUUUAAAAGAAUCAACUUAAACUUACUGAUUCCAAGUAGAUAUGAUCUGUACUUCCCUUUGGCUGUGUGGCAAGGGUGGAUUUGCCAGCUUAAGGAGGGUUACUCUUUCUUAAAGUGGGGACCCUGUUGCUAUGUUACCAGUAUGUUCCAAAGAGAAUUCUGUCAGUUGUCUAUGAAGGAGUCUCCCCUGGUUGUAGGCUGUGUUACUGUUUCAGUAGUGAUGAUGUUCUCUCUUUUCUCUAUCUCUUUUUGCUUAUUUUUUUCUUGCCAAAGUACUUCCUAUCUCAAAAUGUAUGAAAACAAGACUAUAGAAAGAUAUCAAAGAAGCACACAAAAA
rnacentral:lncRNA from 1 species